UACGAAGGGGGCUAGCGUUGCUCGGAAUCACUGGGCGUAAAGCGCACGUAGGCGGAUCUUUAAGUCAGGGGUGAAAUCCUGGAGCUCAACUCCAGAACUGCCUUUGAUACUGAGGAUCUCGAGUCCGGGAGAGGUGAGUGGAACUGCGAGUGCAGAGGUGAAAUUCGUAGAUAUUCGCAAGAACACCAGUGGCGAAGGCGGCUCACUGGCCCGGUACUGACGCUGAGGUGCGAAAGCGUGGGGAGCAAACAGG
rnacentral:rRNA from 1 species